UCUCCGUUGGUGAACCAGCGGAGGGAUCAUUACCGAGUUUUUCAACUCCCAAACUCCUGUGAACUAAUACCUUUACUGUGGCUUCGGUGGGGUAACUCCCCGGAAGGCCCGCGAGGGCCGCCGGCACCAGGCGCCCGCCGGGGGACCCAAACGCUUGUAUCUUUUUUAUAGAGUGUCUGAGUGGGAUCAUAAACAAAUGAAUCAAAACUUUCAACAACGGAUCUCUUGGUUCUG
rnacentral:misc_RNA from 1 species